UACAGAGGGUGCAAACGUUGCUCGGAAUCAUUGGGCGUAAAGCGCACGUAGGCGGCCUAGCAAGUAGGGAGUGAAAUCCCUCGGCUCAACCGGGGAACUGCGUCUGAUACUGGAUGGCUUGAAUUCGGGAGAGGGAUGCGGAAUUCCAGGUGUAGCGGUGAAAUGCGUAGAUAUCUGGAGGAACACCGGUGGCGAAGGCGGCAUCCUGGACCGAGAUUGACGCUGAUGCGCGAAAGCCAGGGGAGCAAACGGG
rnacentral:rRNA from 1 species